UACGGGGGGGGCAAGCGUUGUUCGGAAUUACUGGGCGUAAAGGGUUCGUAGGUGGCCUGCUAAGUCAGACGUGAAAUCCCUCAGCUUAACUGGGGAACUGCGUCUGAUACUGGUGGGCUUGAGUGCAGGAGAGGAACGCGGAAUUCCAGGUGUAGCGGUGAAAUGCGUAGAUAUCGGGAGGGACACCAGCGGCGAAGGCGGGCAUCUGGGCUAACACUGACGCUGAGGCGCGAAAGCUAGGGGAGCAAACAGG
rnacentral:rRNA from 1 species